rnacentral:rRNA from 1 species
GACGAACGCUGGCGGCGUGCUUAACACAUGCAAGUCGAACGGAAAGGCCCUGCUUUUGCGGGGUGCUCGAGUGGCGAACGGGGGAGUAACACGUGAGUAACCUGCCCUUGUCUGUGGGAUAACUUCAGGAAACUGGGGCUAAUACCGGAUAGGAGCUCCCGCUGCGUGGUGGGGGUUGGAAAGUUUCGGCGGUUGGGGAUGGACUCGAGGCUUAUCAGCUUGUUGGGGGGGUAGUGGCGUACGAAGGCUUUGACGGGUAGCCGACCUGAGAGGGUGACCGGCCACAUUGGGACUGAGAUACGGCCCAGACUCCUACGGGAGGCAGCAGUGGGGAAUAUUGCACAAUGGGCGGAAGCCUGAUGCAGCAACGCCGCGUGCGGGAUGACGGCCUUCGGGUUGUAAACCGCUUUCGCCUGUGACGAAGCGUGAGUGACGGUAAUGGGUAAAGAAGCACCGGCUAACUACGUG